rnacentral:rRNA from 1 species
AGUGAACGCUGGCGGUAGGCCUAACACAUGCAAGUCGAACGGCAGCACAGUAAGAGCUUGCUCUUACGGGUGGCGAGUGGCGGACGGGUGAGGAAUACAUCGGAAUCUACUUUUUCGCGGGGGAUAACGUAGGGAAACUUACGCUAAUACCGCAUACGACCUACGGGUGAAAGCAGGGGAUCUUCGGACCUUGCGCGAUUGAAUGAGCCGAUGUCGGAUAGCUAGUUGGCGGGGUAAAGGCCCACCAAGGCGACGAUCCGUAGCUGGUCUGAGAGGAUGAUCAGCCACACUGGAACUGAGACACGGUCCAGACUCCUACGGGAGGCAGCAGUGGGGAAUAUUGGACAAUGGGCGCAAGCCUGAUCCAGCCAUACCGCGUGGGUGAAGAAGGCCUUCGGGUUGUAAAGCCCUUUUGUUGGGAAAGAAAAGCAGCAGGUUAAUACCCCGCUGUUCUGACGGUACCCAAAGAAUAAGCACCGGCUAACUUCGUG